rnacentral:rRNA from 1 species
UACGAAGGGGGCUAGCGUUGCUCGAAAUCAUUGGGCGUAAAGGGUGCGUAGGCGGCGCGGUAAGUCGGGUGUGAAAUCUUGGAGCUUAACUCCGAAACUGCAUUCGAUACUGCCGUGCUUGAGGACUGGAGAGGAGACUGGAAUUUACGGUGUAGCGGUGAAAUGCGUAGAUAUCGUAAGGAAGACCAGUGGCGAAGGCGGGUCUCUGGACAGUUCCUGACGCUGAGGAGCGAAAGCGUGGGGAGCGAACAGG